AGUGUCUUGUGAAAUCCCACGGCUCAACCGUGGAACUGCAGGGCAUACUGCUGUUCUUGAGGUCGGUAGAGGUCGCCGGAACUGUAGGUGUAGCGGUGAAAUGCGUAGAUAUCUACAGGAACGCCAAAGACGAAGGUAGGCGACUGGGCCGAUUCUGACGCUCAGGCACGAAAACGUGGGGAGCAAACAGGAUUAGAUACCCUGGUAGUCCACGCCGUAAACGAUGUGCACUAGAUUCGGGAGACUCUGACGUCAUCCGGGUCGAAGCAAAAGUGUUAAGUGCACCGCCUGGGGAGUACGGUCGCAAGAUUAAAACUCAAAGGAAUUGACGGGGGCUCACACAAGCGGUGGAGCAUGUGGCUUAAUUCGAAGCAACGCGAAGAACCUUAUCCUGGGUUUGACAUGUACGGAUACCCUUCCUGAAAGGGAAGUAAGUUGCUCAUUGAGUGAAACGUACACAGGUGCUGCAUGGCUGUCGUCAGCUCGUGCUGUGAAGUGUUGGGUUAAGUCCCUUAACGAGCGAAACCCUGUCGUUAGUUGCCAGCGCGCCUUCGGGUGGCGGGGACUCUAACGAGACUGCCGGUGUCAAAUCCGGAGGAAGGCGNGGGAUGACGUCAAGUCCUCAUGGCCUUUAUGCCCAGGGCUGCACACGUGCUACAAUGGCGCGUACAGAGCGAAGCGAUACCGCAAGGUGGAGCAAAUCGCACAAAACGCGCCCCAGUUCGGAUUGGGGUCUGCAGCU
rnacentral:rRNA from 1 species